GAUGAACGCUGGCGGCGUGCCUAAUACAUGCAAGUCGAGCGAACAGACGAGGAGCUUGCUCCUCUGACGUUAGCGGCGGACGGGUGAGUAACACGUGGAUAACCUACCUAUAAGACUGGGAUAACUUCGGGAAACCGGAGCUAAUACCGGAUAAUAUAUUGAACCGCAUGGUUCAAUAGUGAAAGACGGUUUUGCUGUCACUUAUAGGUGGAUCCGCGCCGCAUUAGCUAGUUGGUAAGGUAACGGCUUACCAAGGCAACGAUGCGUAGCCGACCUGAGAGGGUGAUCGGCCACACUGGAACUGAGACACGGUCCAGACUCUUACGGGAGGCAGCAGUAGGGAAUCUUCCGCAAUGGGCGAAAGCUUGACGGAGCAACGCCGCGUGAGUGAUGAAGGUCUUCGGAUCGUAAAACUCUGUUAUUAGGGAAGAACAAAUGUGUAAGUAACUAUGCACGUCUUGACGGUACCUAAUCAGAAAGCCACGGCUAACUACGUG
rnacentral:rRNA from 1 species